rnacentral:misc_RNA from 1 species
CCGAGUUUACAAACUCCCAACCCUAUGUGAACCUUACCUAUCGUUGCUUCGGCGGGCUUAGCCCCCGCGCCUUCGCCGGCGCCGGGAAACAGGCGCCCGCCGGAGACCCAAACUCAAUGUUUUCAUGCAGUAUUAUCUGAGUGGCAAACGCAAAAAUAAAUCA